rnacentral:rRNA from 1 species
CGUAACCUACGGGGGGCAGCAGUAGGGAAUUUUCGUCAAUGGGCGCAAGCCUGAACGAGCGAUGCCGCGUGAGUGAAGAAGGCCUUCGGGUCGUAAAGCUUUGUUGCGGGGGAAAAAAGGCAGCAUCAGGAAAUGGGUGCUGACUGAUGGUGCCCCGCCAGAAAGUCACGGCUAACUACGUGCCAGCAGCCACGGUAAUACGUAGGUGGCGAGCGUUAUCCGGAAUGAUUGGGCGUAAAGGGUGCGCAGGCGGUCCUGCGAGUCUGGAGUGAAAGGCAUGAGCUCAACUCAUGCAUGGCUUUGGG